UGAGGAGGGAGCGCGCGGGGAGCCCCUCAGACCGCCGCGCCUCACAGCAGCGCUGCUCUCUCACAAGCCCUCACAGCGCUGGGAGCCGCCUCUCAAAGCGCUGGGACACCUUCACAACUGCCCCUCACAGCGCUGGGACACCCUUCAGAGACCGUCACACACCUGCCCCUCAACCUCCCUUUGCACUGGGACCCCGUCAUAGCUGCCCCCCCUCACAGCAUUACAGCCAUUCACCGGUGUCUCCCCAGCCCAGGCUCACAAUGCCCAAGCCCCCUUUGUGCCAACACCACUACAGGCCCUCCCCAAAGCUCAAGCAGAAAAGCAGUUUUCUAAACUUCAGUGAGAGGACAGGAGGCUCCUGAAGACCCCUUUCCCAGCAGUACAACCACUCUUGCCAGAGGAGAUGUGACUGAAUUCCGUCCCACACAACCUGGCUGGCAAGGCUACACAGAGUUUCUGGCUUGCCAAGGAAAAUUGGAGAAGGAAGAUUUCACCACAAAUUCCUUUUCAGCAAAAUAAAU